GACGAACGCUGGCGGCGUGCCUAAUACAUGCAAGUAGAACGCACAGUUUAUACCGUAGCUUGCUCCACCAUAGACUGUGAGUUGCGAACGGGUGAGUAACGCGUAGGUAACCUGCCUGGUAGCGGGGGAUAACUAUUGGAAACGAUAGCUAAUACCGCAUAAUAUUGAUUAUUGCAUGAUAAUUGAUUGAAAGAUGCUAUUGCAUCACUACCAGAUGGACCUGCGUUGUAUUAGCUAGUAGGUGAGGUAACGGCUCACCUAGGCGACGAUACAUAGCCGACCUGAGAGGGUGAUCGGCCACACUGGGACUGAGACACGGCCCAGACUCCUACGGGAGGCAGCAGUAGGGAAUCUUCGGCAAUGGACGAAAGUCUGACCGAGCAACGCCGCGUGAGUGAAGAAGGUUUUCGGAUCGUAAAGCUCUGUUGUAAGAGAAGAACGGGUGUGAGAGUGGAAAGUUCACACUGUGACGGUAUCUUACCAGAAAGGGACGGCUAACUACGUG
rnacentral:rRNA from 1 species